ACGAACGCUGGCGGCGUGCCUAAUACCUGCAAGUAGAACGCUGAAGGAGGAGCUUGCUUCUCCGGAUGAGUUGCGAACGGGUGAGUAACGCGUAGGUAACCUGCCUGGUAGCGGGGGAUAACUAUUGGAAACGAUAGCUAAUACCGCAUAAGAGUAGAUGUCGCAUGACAUUUGCUUAAAAGGUGCAACUGCACCACUACCAGAUGGACCUGCGUUGUAUUAGCUAGUUGGUGAGGUAACGGCUCACCAAGGCAACGAUACAUAGCCGACCUGAGAGGGUGAUCGGCCACACUGGGACUGAGACACGGCCCAGACUCCUACGGGAGGCAGCAGUAGGGAAUCUUCGGCAAUGGACGGAAGUCUGACCGAGCAACGCCGCGUGAGUGAAGAAGGUUUUCGGAUCGUAAAGCUCUGUUGUAAGAGAAGAACGAGUGUGAGAGUGGAAAGUUCACACUGUGACGGUAUCUUACCAGAAAGGGACGGCUAACUACGUG
rnacentral:rRNA from 1 species